UAGCAGGAUUCCAAGAGCUGCAGCUCAUUGUGGCCAAAGGACCUCCUAAUGCAUGCAAGAACAAUCCAGAGAGAUUCUGACAGCUUGGGUCAAAUCAUAUCUGCUGCUACAAUGUGCCUAAUAAUG
ensembl:snoRNA